UGACCAUUUCCCGGACCCGCUCAGAUCUGCCGGGAAACCAAUAGCCAUGCGGACAGCUAGGUCAAAUGCCGA
rnacentral:sRNA from 23 species